CAGGCAGACAGACAGCCCCCUGCCAGAGACUGAGUGACCCCAGACAGACAGGCGGAUGGACAGACCUCUCCCCGCCUGACAGCUCCCCUAGCCAGUCAGGGACCUGCAACCCCUAGACAAAGGCCUCCCUUCCCUCCCCGGAGGACGGACGGACAGACACAGGCUAUCCUCAGCCAAAGAACCCAAACCCUGAUCGCCCGAAGGUGGGGCUGCCAGCCCUCGGGCUCCCCCCUUCUGGCUCUUACAGGUGGGUGCUGGCUCUGGGUCUCUGCUCACUUGCUCCCCGGGGGCUGCUGGACUGUGGGGCUGGGACAGGAGGGAGCAGGCCCCCAUGGCUGUCAUGGGAGGGGAGGGGAGAGUUCUGGGCCAGGGCCAGGGACAGCUCUGGCACCCCAGGAACCACUCCUAGCACCCAUUGCCCAGCCAGGAUGAGCAUCCCAGCAUCAGCACCUCCCCAGGCCAGAAAUGCCCAGGGAGAAGCCCUGAUCUAUGAGAACCGACUGCCCAGAGACCCCCCGUUCUGGGGGGGGGGGACCUCUCUCAGGGGCUGGGCCCUCACUCUCCCCUGCCCCCACAUGCAGCCCCUGCUCCUGCCCCAUCUGUUCAGGGACAGAACUAUGCCCCUAGCCCCAGAUACGGUCCCCACCUAGGCUGGGCGGAUGGCAUGUGGCGGGAAGGGGAGUCCAGUGCCAGCCCAGAGCCACCACCCCUCCCUCGGCCCUGCCCAGAGAGUGGGGCCCCAGCAGGGCAAUACCAUUGCUCAUUGCUGCUGCCCAUUCCCAGCCCUGACUCAUGGGUGGGGGAGGAGGGAGCGGGGGCUGAGCCACGCAAGAUGUUCGAGGCCUGGGUAUGUCAGGGUAGCCUGGGAGCCCUCCUCAGCUCAGCCUCCUGCUCAUGGGUGUCUCUCUCCAUAGUGCCGCCUUCUUUGCAGGGGGCAUGCAGCCCCUGACAAGCUGUAGACAGGGAUCGCCGCUCCUGCCAGGGAAAUGCAGCUACCUCUGGGGUGGCGCGCAGCAGUUGUUUAAUCGCUGUGCAGCCGGUGAGGACAGGAAGUGAAAGACACUGUGCCCAAUUGAAGUUGCAGGGUGGGACGGAUUUGAGGUUGGUGGAAUUUAGCCCAAUAAGGAAAUUCAAGGGAAGGACAGGCAGGUUUCAUAACCAAGCACAGACCUCUCCAAGACGGCUCCACUUUGGAAGAUCCCCUGCACAGGGUUCCACCAGCAGGGCAAGCCUGGCCUGUGCUGCUUGGGGCACAAGGGAAGUGUUGGCCUCCCUGCUCCGCGGGCUGAUUCCACAAGUGGUGACUCAGGGCCGCGCCCCCGGUCCCUGGGCAGCGGCUGUGCCAAGGCCAUUCUGGGCAGCGCAGAGGAGCCCCAGUGCCUUCGAUUUUUUACAGACUUCCACCCUAGUGCCAUCGAUCCCUGCGCUGUUCUUGCCUCCGGAGCUGGGCAGGCGUGACUUGCUGUGAAGGAGGCACAGAACGACACUGGAGAUGCAGCGGCUGGGGGCUGUGCCCUGUUUCAGGAAAGUGCCUUUCACCCCAGCGACCUCCAGAGCUCUGCGCAAAGGCAGAGGGAGCCAGAGGGUGGAUCAGCCUGGUCUGGGGCCCCCCACCCGAAAGCUGACAGCUUGGGGAACUUGACCGGCUCCAGCACAUCCUGGGAAACCCCCAGCUCUGGCUCCUCUCCUGACCCCUCCUCCAGCCAGGAGGCCCCGGGGAUGGACUGGCUGCGAGGGCUGGAACGGGGCUGCCAGUCAGGCCUGGAGGAAAGCUCCACUUUGGAUGGAAUCGUGCUGGGAAAUUCAUCUUUGGAGAUUGCGCUGAGCCCAGCCCCAGGCUGCUCGGCACCCUCCAGGCCCUCUGGGAAAGGCCAGUGGCUGCAGGCUCCUGGACACCGAAGAAGCAGUGGCAGAAGCCGAGGGCAGAUGACGCGGUGGAGCUGAGGGAGGGAGUUGAACCCGGAGUUUGCUGAGGAGCCUGCUCCGUGGCUCCCGUACACAGGGCCUGGUGCUGAGACCUCCGGAGGCUGCCCUGGGCUGGAGGGAGCAGGCGAGGAGCCCAGGAGGGACUGGAGAGCCGCAGCCUCUGCUCAUGGAGAGCCCAGCAGCCCCAUGCUGCUGUGGGAGAGGACAUGGACUGGGCAGAUGUGUCCCUGCCCUGUAUAGCCAGGCUCGCUCCCUGUGUGCGGUGGACGGGCCCAGUGCUGCCUGGUGCCCGCCUGCCUCGUGCUCAGGCUGUGCCAUGUUGCUCACGAAUGGCCAAGCCCCAGCGCACUGGAGAGCCGCGGGCCUCCACCUACUACUGUCUUGCUGCCCUGUCUUUUCCCCAGGCAUGUCCUGCACGGUGCCCUUGCCUCCCAGCUGUGCCCCAUCCCUGCCUUGGGGAGAUCCCACCCGUCAGCACAGGACGUGCCACAGGCACCAGCCAGGCAGUCCUCUCCGGUGCCUGCAGAUCUUUCCCAUCCUCCCUGCCACCUGCAGCUCUGCGCAUGGCCCCAGGGCCUGCUCUGCAUGGCUGGGGCAGGAGCUGGCCCCGCUAUGUGACAGGGAGGGGCUCUGUCCCUGGCGUGUUUCCCAGGCCCCUGCCUGUUUGACUCGUGGGCCCAGCUGUACCCAGAUCUCUGUUGUUUGCUGCGGAUUCACCUCCCUAAAUAAAGGGUUGCUGGUACGA